GGGCUGGAGCUGGACACUGAGGGUCACAGGCUUUUUGUGGCUUUUUCUGGCUGUAUUGUCUACCUCCCUCUCAGCCGGUGUGCCCGGCAUGGGGCCUGUCAGAGGAGCUGUUUGGCUUCUCAGGACCCAUACUGUGGAUGGCAUAGCUCCAGGGGCUGUGUGGAUAUCAGGGGAUCUGGUGGGACUGAUGUGGAUCAGGCUGGGAACCAGGAAUCCAUGGAGCAUGGUGACUGCCAAGAUGGAGCUACUGGGAGUCAGUCUGGCCCUGGGGAUUCUGCUUAUGGUGAGUCCUCUUGUCCCAACCUCACCUUCCCUUGCUCAGCCCACAUACCUGAGUGUGUGUCCUGUAGCAGCAGCAGAGCAGCAUUCUGAAUACCCUGGGAGUAUCGGAAAAGGGUCGGCAUCCUCCAGAUACCCAGCAUGUAGCUCAGUACUUGGCACACAGUAGGGUACUUUUUGAACAAAUAAAUCAAUGUCCUGCAUGA
rnacentral:lncRNA from 1 species